AGUGAACGCUGGCGGUAGGCCUAACACAUGCAAGUCGAACGGCAGCACAGUAAGAGCUUGCUCUUACGGGUGGCGAGUGGCGGACGGGUGAGGAAUACAUCGGAAUCUACUUUUUCGUGGGGGAUAACGUAGGGAAACUUACGCUAAUACCGCAUACGACCUACGGGUGAAAGCAGGGGAUCUUCGGACCUUGCGCGAUUGAAUGAGCCGAUGUCGGAUUAGCUAGUUGGCGGGGUAAAGGCCCACCAAGGCGACGAUCCGUAGCUGGUCUGAGAGGAUGAUCAGCCACACUGGAACUGAGACACGGUCCAGACUCCUACGGGAGGCAGCAGUGGGGAAUAUUGGACAAUGGGCGCAAGCCUGAUCCAGCCAUACCACGUGGGUGAAGAAGGCCUUCGGGUUGUAAAGCCCCUUUGUUGGGAAAGAAAAGCAGCAGGUUAAUACCCCGCUGUUCUGACGGUACCCAAAGAAUAAGCACCGGCUAACUUCGUG
rnacentral:rRNA from 1 species